UACGAAGGGGGCUAGCGUUAAUCGGAUUUACUGGGCGUAAAGCGCGCGUAGGUGGCCAAUUAAGUCAAAUGUGAAAUCCCCGAGCUUAACUUGGGAAUUGCAUUCGAUACUGGUUGGCUAGAGUAUGGGAGAGGAUGGUAGAAUUCCAGGUGUAGCGGUGAAAUGCGUAGAGAUCUGGAGGAAUACCAAUGGCGAAGGCAGCCAUCUGGCCUAAUACUGACACUGAGGUGCGAAAGCAUGGGGAGCAAACAGG
rnacentral:rRNA from 1 species